AAAAAAAAAAUCCACUAAAAAGAGCAAAAAGCAUAAGCGACUGAUCGGAGAAGAAACAACUCGCCGCCGAGUUAACACCGGUUCGCCGUCGUAAAUGGAUGGAGUAGGUGCCCGUCUCGGCCGGUCAUCAGCUAGGUACGCACCGACAACUGUAUUUACUGGUCCGGUUCGUAGGUGGAAGAAGAAAUGGAUCCAAGGAACACCGCCCAGUUCCGGUAACAACCACAGUCGGAACACUGCUAACGGCGGCGUUAAUGGCAGUAACAUCUCUCAUCUAUUGCUUUUCAAGUGGAUACCUAUUACUGCGAGCCAGAACAAUAAUGAUAGUUCCUCCAAAGACGACGUCGUUUCGGUGGAGGAACCACCUAAACGCAAAUUCAAGUACAUUCCGAUUAACGUGCUUGAAGAACAAAAGAAUGAUGCAUCUGAACAAGUUGAAGAUGAUAUUAAGCCAAUUGAGAGUGACACAAAUAGUGAGGAGCCAACAUCUCAGGCGGAUGGUUUUGAUGAAAAACCUGACAUCAACGACGUGCCCAUGGAAGAGAAUCAUGAUCCGAAGAGAAAACCUCCAGAACGACAAGACUUAAAUGAAAGGACUUUGGACUUAUCUUUGGGCUAGAAAGUUCGCGAUGAGAACAAUUCUGACUGAAAAACAGGUCAGGCAAGACUAUACAGGGGCACCAAGUCAUUAUGGCUUUCCCAAAAAUGUUGCCCUGUGUCAGUUGUGAUUAAACUGUCUGUGUCAUCAUAUGACACCGGCUUAAUGUAAUUGUAUUCUGAAGCUAUUGUGUUUACUUUGUAGAGGACUCGAUUUUUCUGGGAACUAUAGCAAAAAACCUAAAUGUUGUUCCAUCACAUUUAAGUGCUAGAGCACAAUGUGUGAUAUGUGCUGUUUAGGCGCCUAUUAAGGGUUCGAACCUUGCUUCAGACAAGAAGCCUAAUAAUUUGAGUAGAGAACAGUAGGGGGGUGGAACUCAUU
rnacentral:misc_RNA from 1 species